CCCUUAGAUGUUCUGGGCUGCACGCGCGCUACACUGACGCACGCAACAGGUGCCUGCUCCGAGAGGACUGGGUAAUCAUUUGAGUGUGCGUCGUGAUGGGGAUAGAAUAUUGUAAUUAUUACUCUUCAACGAGGAAUUCCUAGUAAGCGCCAGUCAGCAGCUUGCGCUGAUUACGUCCCUGCCCUUUGUACACACCGCCCGUCGCUCCUACCGAUGGGUGAUCCGGUGAAUGAUUCGGACUUCAGCGGCUCCCCUGGGGUGCGUCGGAGAAAGUUUUGUGAACCUUAUCACUUGGAGGAAGGAGAAGUCGUAACA
rnacentral:rRNA from 1 species